UAGGAGGGAAAGUUGGCUUUUGGAAGAGUCACUCGUUAUUAUCAGCUCGACUGCGCACUUAGUCAAUCCAAAUAUUAUUCUUUCGACGAUGCAAUAAUUUAUGCCUCAAAAGAAUACUGCAAACGAGAGCACAGGAUUUGGAAGGACAACUGUCACUCUUACGUUGCUUACUGCUUAAAUUUGAUGGAGUACUGCGGGAAAACUGACUGGAACAUGCUAACCUUAGCUUCCCUAAUGUUUUUUAAAGGGCGCUAUUACGGAAAAAAAGGCUUUUUAUACACGUGGGGGCCAUUUUCUCUAAUACUU